UGGGAUAUCGUCUAAUGGUAGGACAGAGGCCUUUGAAGCCUUUAAUUGUGGUUCGAAUCCAUAUAUCCCAG
rnacentral:tRNA from 1 species